GAUGAAGAACGCAGCGAAAUGCGAUAAGUAAUGUGAAUUGCAGAAUUCAGUGAAUCAUCGAGUCUUUGAACGCACAUUGCGCCCCCUGGUAUUCCGGGGGGCAUGCCUGUCCGAGCGUCAUUGCCGCCCUCAAGCACGGCUUGUGUGUUGGGCCCCCGCCCCCCGGCUUCGGGGGGCGGGCCCGAAAGGCAGGGGCGGCACCGCGUCCGGUCCUCGAGCGUAUGGGGCUUCGUCACCCGCUCUGUAGGCCCGGCCGGCGCCCGCCGGCGACCCCAAUCAAUCUUUCCAGGUUGACCUCGGAUCAGGUAGGGAUACCCGCUGAACUUAAGCAUAUCAAUAAGCGGAGGA
rnacentral:misc_RNA from 1 species